UUAGUGCAACAAAUCUAUGUACCUACGCAUGUGAUAAUCUAAUCAUAAUGUGUCGGUCAGAUAAUCUUAGGUUUCUAAAUACAUAUGUAUUCCACUAAAUAAAUUUACCAAAAGUACUUAUAAGCAUAGUCGUGCGCACGGUUAUCUAGAGUCGGGCAUCUAGUUAAUUGGUUUCAGUGACGUGCCCAAGAAUUUUCAAUGGAAGGGAUUAUGG